UCAGGACCUGUAUGUAGUGACCUUGAUGUAGUGACCCCUGUAACCUCUGUAGCUGAGUUAUAGUGACGCUUGUGACCUGAAAUCGAGUCACUUGCUUAUAUCAAAGACGCAGCGUUUAGGAUUCUACAUUAUUAUCCUUUACAAAGCUUCGAAACUUCAGACCACUUCGCUAGUUUAUAUUUAAAGUCUCGUGCAUUUGUGUAUUAAAUGAUGCGAUUGAUGGAACGGUACGCUUGUUAUCCUCACUACACCGGGACACGAAGCGACAAGGACCAAGGAUAAAAACCCGAGUGAUAAAUGGACACAAGUGCUUCGGUGGGACAGUUCGGAACAGUUUCAAGACUCGAGUUCGAAGCUUAACGAACCACAUGCCAUCCUGCGGUCAGUCACCUCCGAAAUGCGACGAGGGACAUACAAGUGCGCCUUUCCAGCCGCUGCAGCCCCUCCUACCAGCCUUCCCAGCCUUUGAAAAUCCUUCCUUCCUUCUAACCGCCCCUUCCAACCCUUCCUCUCAGCCCUUUCCAGCCCCAUACCUUUCCCCGUGACAUGAUUUUCCAGCGUGUCUUGUACUGAGGGGAUUGUGAAGGGAGCAGUGGCGGUGGCGGUGGCUGGCCUGGUGUGCGGCGCGGCUGGACAGUGUUUGGACCGCGGGGUGCCGGGUGCAUGGCGGCCGAUGCGGCGGUGAGGUGACGGCACCGCGGCCGCGCGUGGCACCCGCACCGAGGAAGGGUUCCAGAAAACUGAUGUGGAUCACAUGAUGAGUUCACCGAAAAAAAAAAAAAAAAAAAAAAAAAAACAGCAAAUGAGUGAGUUUCAGCUGAAGACUGUACACUAUGGGGCACUGCUGCUGCUCCCAGGCUGCCUCAGCACAGCAGCCGGGGGAUCAGGUUCUUCCAAAAGUAACUGCCACUCAGCAGUUCCACUCUCGGUAGAAUAAUAAUCUACAAAUGUUUUUCAGCUUCGGUAAAUACAGCCAAGGUUGCACUGUGGCUCACAACAGACAAGAACACAGCGCUGGGCACCUGUGAGGAGGGGUUGGUGACUGGAAGCCCCGCACGGGUGAGGGUGACCGCGACCUGUACCUAUUGAUCGGGUACUCCUCCGGCCUGAGGUGGAACCCUUCCUCGGAGGCCAUGGAUCCUCUCCUGGACGCCUGCUUCACCACCUCUGCCAGCUCCAGGCCCACCUUCAGGAUUAGGAAACAUUAAAACUGUGUGCUCUCGGCGCCCUGAGCCAGCCUACAGCGAGGCAGCUGGGCACACUCUUCUGGGCCACUGUCAUGUUUGGGACAAGACACUAUGUAUGCUAGUGGGAACCAAUUCUUGUGCUUUGUGAAGCUAACUGUAAAAAGCAUAUAUAUAUAUAUAUAUAUAUAUAUAUAUAUAUAUAUAUAUAUAUAUAUAUAUAUAUAUAUAUAUAUAUAUA